AUAGCGCGAGCGUUAAGUUGGCUAUACGGGACGCCGAAUUUCGCGGCUACCUUCAUACCGACGCGCCGUCUCUCCACGUCACGUAGCGGUUGUUCGGCGCAGUGAUCGAAACUUCAUUUUUCGCAUCCUUUACUCGCCAAUGGUGAAUCUCUCGCGUGCGAACGACGAGUACCGAAAGCGUCGAAGUCAGCAGCGUGUAGUCGUUAGAGCGUGUAUAAUCGUAAGAUCGUCGUCUCUCGGUAAUGUGCAACCGGUAUUCGCAGCGUCGCGUCGAGUCGGAUCGUCGUCUAUCGAAAUGGCGUCGUAAUUGUUGACUCGUCGAGCAGUUUGUAAGAUCUCGUCGGACGAUCUCCAGCAACGUAUUAAUUAUUGCCGUGUAAUUACCGUCCGCUUACGGUAUUCGAGUCGAUCGGUGAAUACGCGCGUGCCUUGUUCAUCAGUAUCGCGUCAUUUUUCUGAGUCUCGUUGCAUUGAAAGGAGUGUCGGGAGUGCCGAAUAUGUGAUCGAGCGUUCUUCAUAGCGUGCGUUAUUCGCACGAAUCGGGAGUGUCGGGACAUCGGGAGUGUCGCGACAUCGGGAGUGUCGGGACAUCGGGAGUGCCGGAUACGAGGUAACGGAAAGGAAUAAUCCCCGGAUCUGUAAUCAGCCGCCGCAUUACGAUCGGACAGCAGUAAGACGAAAAGGGACGACAACGUACUCCGAUUCCUGUCAAAUGUUCUACUGGACUGCAGCUCCAUUCGUUUCCAUGUGGUGAGUACGAAGAAUAAUGUCACUAGUAAAGGUACUGGUAGUAAGCUGUCCUCGUAGUUUGUAAGUACAAGAAAUCUAUGAAAUAUUUGAAAGAAUUUCUUUGAGUCGUGGUGGCUGCAUGAAACACCGCUGAUUGGCCGCUCGUACGCCAAUUUUCCUCGACGGCGCUUCGCCACGAAAAAUCACUAAAUUGCUUCUUUGAAAUGCCGGAAAAGCGGAGGAAACGGUUUCCUCCGUAGUUCGCUCGACAAGUUCUUCUUGGUAGAG